CACCUCUGAUUCUAAAGGAAUGAAAAUUGAUUGUAGUAGGCCCAUCUAAGCAAGAAUAUUUAUAAAUAGCCGAAUUAGCCCGUGUUUACUUGUGAUACCUACAUUAACUCAAAAGGAAACUUGGUUUAAAAAGUUCACCCUAAAACAAUUAAGGUAGCAUUAUUGGCUCAUUAAGAGAUAAGUUGGUGAAGGAGGGGUUUGUGUUAUUUUAGUACCUUUUAAGGUAGAAGAGGAGGGCUUCUGCCUUUAACUCACUAGCCAAUCAGGUACCGAGGCCCCUUCUUAAAGCAACUUCCUGUCUCUCCACUUUCUCUCUCUCCUGGAGGUGAAAGACUGGUUAAAAAUGGGACCCACUGGAGAAGACAGACCUGGGUCUUCAGCACCCUGUGUGCUAGCCCAGGAAUGCUAUUUGAAGCCUGUUACAUCUGCUGCAGACCCCCUAAACACGGGGACUUGGAUUUGGACAUUCUCAGCAGGAAUGGUUAUAGGCUGACAGGACCAUAAAGGUAGAGAUGAUGCCUGAUAGUUGAUAGAUCCUGUAGUUCAACCUUAUCCUAGAUACAAGCUGGAUUGAUCUGACAUCAGAGAAACGAAAUUUCAGGAGACCAAAACUAGAUCUGAGUUUCUUUAUAGAAACUUCUUUUCCAGCCUUGAAACUCUUGGAUGCUACAAAUCCUGGAAAAAAUAUAGAUGACAACAACAUUUUUCUUUUAUGUAUGAAGGUAUAGAUGGAAGCUGACUUCUCACCAAAAGUGGUUUAUAGAAUCAACUU